rnacentral:rRNA from 1 species
GAUGAACGCUAGCUACAGGCUUAACACAUGCAAGUUGCGGGGCAGCAUGUCGGUUGCUUGCAACCGAUGAUGGCGACCGGCGCACGGGUGAGUAACGCGUAUCCAACCUACCCUUCACCACGGAAUAAUCCAGUGAAAAUUGGUCUAAUACCGUAUGAGGUCAUACGAUGGCAUCAGAAUAUGACGAAAGGUUUAGCGGUGAAGGAUGGGGAUGCGUCUGAUUAGCUUGUUGGUGGGGUAACGGCCUACCAAGGCGACGAUCAGUAGCCGACCUGAGAGGGUGACCGGCCACAUUGGGACUGAGACACGGCCCAAACUCCUACGGGAGGCAGCAGUGGGGAAUAUUGCACAAUGGGGGAAACCCUGAUGCAGCAACGCCGCGUGAUUGAAGAAGUAUUUCGGUAUGUAAAGAUCUAUCAGCAAGGAAGAAAAUGACGGUACUUGACUAAGAAGCCCCGGCUAACUACGUGCCAG